rnacentral:misc_RNA from 1 species
GGUCGCGAAGUUCAUGGCCGGCCUCCGGUCGCGACCGAGACUUCCGAAGUCUGCAAGACUUCGGAAGUCUGCCAGCUCUCGAGUUCGCCACGAAGCCAGGCCGUGAAGCGUUCCGAGCCGCGGGCGUUCAAGUGAAUCAGAUCGGCGAAGUCGGCGUUCGUCAGGCCGACGGCUUGUCGACUCGCCCAGACAACCUGGACGCCGCGCUUUAUCGCCAGUUCGCGCAGCGCCUGCCGAUACCAUGCGAAGACCGACGGGAAGUGGAUCUCCUCGAGGUCGGCCGACACGG